GAGUUACAGUAAGUUAAGCAAUAUAAAAUGUUAAGAUCCAGGCAAUAGGUCUUAUAUGAUAUAUAUCUUAUUUAUAUCUUGUAUUCUGCAGCAUGUUAAAGAAUAUAUCUGCAUGGUGCACUCUGACUGUUGACAAUAUUCGCAUAUUGAUAUGAGUAAAAGUUACUUCAAGAACCAGAAAGUGUUUUUGAUAAAUAUUAAUAAUAACAGGAUUUUUAAUUAGAUUUUGUUUAUCUAUUGGAAAAGUGUUAAGGAAUUUUUGGGCUCUAAUGACAGGUUUUUUUUUUGGAAUGAGGGACUUGUAUCUAGUAGCCACGGCACUGUAUUUAAGUAACUAAAGGAAUGUUAUCAAUUUAUUAUAUGAAUCAUAAGCAUGUGCUUUUCUAUAACAAGUACCUUUGAUGGUGAAAAUUACAUUUUUUAUCUGAAGAGAGUUGGGAGAAAUGUUCAUAUUGAAACGAUAUAUUGUGUAAAGAGGUUUUCAAAGAAGUCGUUUUACAACAAUGGAAAAGCUUUCGAUUCCCGAGAUAAACGUGAAAGCAUUUGAUACAUGAUUAAAGAAUUGUUCAAAGUUAGAGUUAGAAACAACUGGGAAAAAAAGAUAAAGAUUGUAUAGCAAGAUAACAAUUGACAGACGACUUAAAAGAUUGCAAAUGAUAUGAAUCAGCAAAGCAAGGUGAAUAAGUAAAACUUUUUGUAUUAAAAAAUUUUAUGUCUAAAAAUUUUUCAUUUUAGGUUUUAAUAAUUACCUUCUAAUCUAUUUUUUAUUUUGUUUCCUUUAAAAUGUUUUUAAAUUAUAAAUUUGAACUUCCUGUUGGUUGCAAUUUAUUGAAAGCUUUUGGUUGGUAGCGACAAGUUAAUGUUCCAAUAUAUUCAAAGCAACAGAUAAUUAAUAGGGUUGAUUUUUAGAAUCUCAACAUUAGUACGUGUUCCCAAAAUAAUUGUAUACGGAAACAGUUAGCAGUUGAGUUCAGAGUAUGACAGUUGAUGCUAAUGUUGAUAUUCUAAAUUACGUUGUGCCAUUGAUUUUUAUACUUCGAUCAGCAAGGUAUAUAAAAGUGGAUUUAAAUACAUUAUUGGUUGAACAUGCUGGUUUCAGAGAUAGUAUUACUAUUUUUGACAACGUUUUACGUUUUUGAUUUGCAGUAUCCAAACGAAUUGCGAGUAGUAUUUUCGUUACUUGAAAAAGUUUGUGGCAUUCCAGAAAAAAUUACUAGUUUAAUUGCAAAUGAUUAUAUUAGACAACUGAAUAUUAAGUUAAAUUUAUAAUAAAUCUAGGUGCAAUAUAGUUUUUUUUUUCUAUUGCAUAAUUAGUUUUCUACUGGGUUUUUAUCUAAUUUUGACUUGUUUUUGUUUGACAAAUCAUCUGAAAUAUGUUAAAUAUUUUAGUGAAAAGUAUAUUCAUAAAUUUUAAAAAGUUUGUGUUUUUUUAUUUUAGUUUAUAUCUUUCUUUUAGGAUAACAACUAAAAAUAUAAAAAAUUCCAUUUUUUAAGCUUUAAUUGAUCACUCUUUAUGUUAUGCAUCUUUUGUUGUGCUGGUUUAUAUUUUAUUGAAAGUUGAUACAUGCAUCUUUUUGAUGCAAUAUAUCUAUAUUUUGAAUGCGUUUGCAUUUAAACUUUAUACGAGAAAUAAAAUAUAUUAGUAGACGUACAAUAACAGUUAAUAUAAAAUUUUACUCAAUUCGAAGUUUUGCUCGAUCCGCUGUCUUAAAAUAAAGAAACUCUCUCUAUUAUUCUUCUAGGCAUUUAAUAUUUCUUUACUAGAAGUAUGAGUGAGACAUUUUUACUUUCUCUGGUAAAGAUAUAAAAAAUUAACAGCCUUUAUAAUAUUACGUUAAUUCAGCAAGUUGCAUUAUAUACGUUGAUGCAACAUUGAUUAUAUAAAGAAAAUUAUUACAUAUUAAUUUCCUUGUUUUAAGGCAUUAAACAUUAGUUUCAUAUUUCAAAGGAUACUUUCCUAAUGUCAUAUUUUAACUGGACUAAUAACCUACAAAAUUUUAAAACAACACAUAUUUACUUUCUUUUUUUUCUAGAUUCAAACACUAUGUAUUAUACUGACUGGUGCGAAGGAAUUUUAAAGAAAGUUUGGGAAUUUCUGCAAACGCGCUGUGUCAGCAAACAAACAAACUUAACUGGUUUAAAGGGUUUGCUGACUCAGCGAAAGUGAUUCCAGAACAUUCUAUAGCAAUUAUUCAAAACGACAAUAACAAUAAUUUUAUUGUCGUUUUGUUGUUGACAGGAGUUUUGAGUUUUGUUUUACUUUGCUAUAGUUUUGUAGAUUUUUGUAAAGAAUCUUAAAAUAUAAAUAUACAAUAUUUAAUGUAUUUUGAUGCAUUUUCGAAACAUAAAAUGGUAGCAAAGGGUAGUUACAUUUAAUAAUUGUUAAUUGUUUGAUCUUCGUUGCUUCGAAAUUAACUGAAAUCGUGAAAUCAAAGAAGAACUUUAAAAAAGUAAAAACUAUGGGUACAAACCAGAAUAAAAAAAAAACAAUCAUCGGAAGAAGAAUCAACAAAUAAUAAAGAUGUUGAUAUAUUUAUGGCGUCAGUCAAACAAAACAAAACAAUAUCAAAGACUCACUUAACGAAAACAAAAUAAAAACUGUUGCAUUUAUUCGAUGAUAAUUUAUUAAGCACAUUUGAGUUUAAAGAACAUCAAAAGAAAUAUGAAAAUCAACAUCAGGCAGUAAUCGAAUUGUUAAACAGUUAUCCCAACAAUACGAAAUUAUGGGAAACGUUGAUAAAAUGAGUUAAAUAGUUGACGAAAUCAAAAAAUCGAAACAGAAUUCACUCAAGUUAUGGAUAAAAUAAAUGGACGUUUAUUCAGUAGAAAAGACAAUUCUUAAAGUAUAAUACCAGCUAUUCCAUCUAAUGUUGAAAUAUUGCAACGAAAAAAAUACAAAAUCAAGACACCAUUUUCAAGAAGCAGAUCGAGCUUAAACAAAAACAAGAAAAAGCUUUGUUAAAAAAGAAAGCACUAGAAGAAAAACACAAAAGGAAAUAAGAAGCACUUAAAAAAGAAAAUGUUGACGAAAGCACAAGUUUUAUGGAAACUAAUUAUAUUUAUGCAAAUCAAGAAGUUAUGCUAGAUAUUUCAGACAAUGAAUUAAAUGCAGAUAUUGGUGUCUUUAAAUUAUCAAAGUCGAACUCAAUGUUACUUUCAAUUCCAAUUUUAAGCCUUGAAAAAAAAGUUAAUGCAAGAAAGCAAGAUAUUGGACACGAUAUUUUGAGACAGUUAAAAAGAGUUUUGAUUCCUGUUUUUACUUGUGAUUAGCGUAACUAUGAAACUGGAAGUCGGCGUUUUUAGCCUGUGUUAAUCAAGCUCCACGACUGCAGAGUACAAGUAGUUACAAUUAAUACAAUAUUUGUCUGGUUCUGCGUUAACCACCAUUGAUGGAUUGGUUUACUCAAGCUAUGCCUAUGAAGCUCCGAAAGAAAAAUAUGAGCUAAAAUAUGAUGGACACAGAAGACAGUUAAUGCUUUACAAAGACGAGUUAGAAAACUUCAUAUCAAUAAAAAAUGACUAUCCUAAGGAUCUGGAAAUAUCCGCUAAAAAAUUUAUUAGACAGCAGUUACUAACCUCAAAAAAGCAGAAAAAAGGCAAGAAGAGCUCGGCAAUGGAACAUUUUGUAGAAAACUCCAAAAUUUUUUAUAGAAAAAUGUUUACUCAUUAUCAACGUUGGGUUUUCAAAAAUGCAAAAGAAGAAAAUGUUGAAACCUUACGACAGUUUAUUAUUAUAUGAUUAGAGUUUUGAAUUGCUGCAGCUGAAACAAUUCAUGGGCUGCAAAGUACAAGUCGUUAUAAACUAAAACAUGAUCAAUCGUAUUUUAGUGAAACCGGAACAAUUGAAACGAGAAAAUCGUGGUUGAAAAAUCUUGUUUGUAAGCAAAAUCAUGCCUUGUGGAACUGUGACCAAUUUAAACAACUUGAUACUAUAGAUAGAUGGAUUUUGCCAAAAAGUAAUUAAUUAAGUUACAGGGUUAUUCAUUUUUAAAUGCGCGUCUAUUCAUUUUUGCAUGCGCCUUUAUUCAUUCUUAUAUG